CAAACCGAAGAAGCGCUUGAAAGGGAGCAAACUACCUUCACAACAGUGUGCUCCCACUGUUGCUUCUUCCGAUCAAAAUGGCGUAUGGUCCGAUCCGACAGGGAGGGAGAUGUCGGUUUGAGCCCCUACAGGCGACGGGAUAUAGGUGGUGGGAUUCGGCUUGUUGAGGUAGAGAUCCUUCUAUCUCUCUCGCUCUCUCACUCUCUCUCUCUCUCUCUCUCUCUCUCUCUUUCUCUGCUUGCGUGGGACGUCGGCGCCGGCAAGUGCUCGACGGGGCUGGGGAUUGAAGGGAGCAGAGGUGGAAUUCGGGCAGAGGAAACGAGAGGCUCGGUCAGCUUCAGUGAGGCGUCGGGUCGGAGAUCGGGAUUCAAGUGGAGGUCGUGGGUCUCGGUCGUGGAGGAAGAGCGAAACAGGGAGAGGGAGAGCCAGCGCCGAGUGACUUCGUUUGCUCGGUAUUUAAAGACUAGAAUGGGGCGACGAUCGAGAGCUGGAUUUCGGCAGGGAUUGCGGAGGACUUGACGAGGGCGGCGCUAUUCGCAGACUGCUACAGGAUUUCUGCGGGAUUUUUGGCAGAACCUCGGCGGGAUUUCAGCACAGUUUCAGUGCGAUGGAUCCUUCUGCAAAUAAGGGUACCUGAAGAGUCGCUUACAAGAAAUUGCAGGAGAUCUCGGGGAUGAAAGCUACAAAUAUGGUGGGGAAUGUAUCGAAUAAGCCUAUUUUUAGAGGAGGAUGUAUGUCCUUGUACUCGAUUGACAUGAUCACUAGCUCUCCGUUGAAAAAAAGGCAAGUUGAUGAUGGGGAGCUGAUUAUUGUCGAAGAUGAGUGAUCAUUUGGUCAUGUUGUGAAGACAAAGUAGGUGACAACUCCUAUUAUCUCUAUGGUGGGAUGCUUGACCAGAGGGUUUGGAGUUACAAAGGGUGAAGUUGAUUUCCCUUUUUUUAUGGGGCCACGGAAAGAUGGAAUAUGAGGUUCCUUGGUCAUCAUAUUGAAGGGUAGGUUAUUGUUGUUACUGAUAUGAGGGAGGAGAUCACCUCCAUGAAAGAGAAGGUGGUGGCCAUAUGGAUUUGUAUGUGCUCGAUGCAGGCUGAAUUGUGAGGCUUGCUUAGUCGGGCUAAGCAGGAGAGUUUUUACUAGAUUGUUCAAUGCAUUGUGGAGUACCUUGAUCGAAUGCACAUACUGGGCUAAGUAUGGAGAAUGAUCAUGUGCUAGAGCGUGUUUGAUGUGACAACCAUUUUGGAUUUCAUUUUCUUUUUUCAUGUUGUAUUUAUCCAAAAGCUUGGAUGUGUCGGACCAUGUAUGAAUAAAAUUCUAGAUUUAUGAGAAAUUUGACCAUUGCUUUAUGUCGAAUAGAAUGAUAAGGUGGUCAUGCCACCACUUUUGAGAGUGACUGAGGGAAUGGGUGUGUUGUGGCCAUUUAGAUCUUGUAAUGGUGAGAAGGAAGAGUGAGAUAUUCCACAUUAAUUUUGAUUUGAGGUCUCAUGUAAUCUUGUGCAUCAUGUUCUCAACUUAUAAAUGGAAGUGGUAGGAUGUUGAAAGUC